rnacentral:rRNA from 1 species
AUUGAACGCUGGCGGCAGACUUAACACAUGCAAGUCGAACGAGUGGCGGACGGGUGAGUAAUGCUUGGGAAUCUACCUUAUGGAGGGGGAUAACUACGGGAAACGGUAGCUAAUACCGCGUACCAUAGGAUGAGCCCAAGUGGGAUUAGGGAGGUGGUGGGGUAACGGCUCACCAAGCCGACGACCUCUAGCUGGUCUGAGAGGAUGACCAGCCACACUGGAACUGAGACACGGUCCAGACUCCUACGGGAGGCAGCAGUGGGGAAUAUUGCACAAUGGGCGCAAGCCUGAUGCAGCCAUGCCGCGUGUGUGAAGAAGGCCUUCGGGUUGUAAAGCACUUUCAGCGAGGAGGCGUUACUCGCAGAAGAAGCACCGGCUAACUCCGUGCCAGCAGCCGCGGUAAUAC